rnacentral:tRNA from 2 species
AAACUUAGGUUAAUGUAAANCCAAGGGCCUUCAAAGCCCUUAAUAAGGAC